rnacentral:rRNA from 1 species
UACGGAGGGUGCAAGCGUUAUCCGGAUUCACUGGGUUUAAAGGGUGCGUAGGCGGGCAGGUAAGUCAGUGGUGAAAUCUCCGGGCUUAACCCGGAACUGCCGUUGAUACUAUCUGUCUUGAAUAUCGUGGAGGUAAGCGGAAUAUGUCAUGUAGCGGUAAAAUGCUUAGAUAUGACAUAGAACACCCAUUGCGAAGGCAGCUUACUACACGAUCAUUGACGCUGAGGCACGAAAGCGUGGGGAGCAAACAGGAUUAGAACUUACCGUUAGUC